CCAGUGAUCUACAUUCAACGGCCGCGGUAUCCUAACCGUGCAAAGGUAGCGUAAUCACUUGCCUCCUAAUUAGAGGCCAGUAUGAACGGCUAAAUGAGGGCCCACCUGUCUCCUAGGGCACAAUAAUGAAACUGAUCUUCUAGUACAAAAGCUAGAAUUCUCACAUAAGACGAGAAGACCCUGUGGAGCUUUAAACCAUUGUUGCUACUAUCACCACCAAGGUUUUAAUAAACCAGCCCCCCACCACCUACCCUAGCAACAGCUUUUAGUUGGGGCAACUAUGGAACAAAACAAAACUUCCACGUAUCAAGACACCCACUAACCCAGGCCAACCCGCCGCCACCCCCAAGACCCAGCACCGCUGAACACCGAACCAAGUUACCCCAGGGAUAACAGCGCCAUCCUCUUCUAGAGUCCCUAUCGCCAAGAGGGCUUACGACCUCGAUGUUGGAUCAGGACACCCCAGUGGCGCAGCCGCUACUAAAGGUCCGUUUGUUCAACGGUUAAU
rnacentral:rRNA from 1 species